UGACGGCGCACGAUAGCUUUCCUCCGCCAUGGAUGCUCCUGAGUCUGAAUCAGCACCAGCGACCUCUUCUCCGAUCACCUCCAUCUCCGCCUCCGCGGUCGAAGAUCCUCUCUCGAGUCCGUACGCCUCUCUGAACUCUCACUGCCACGAUCUCUCCACGCUGCAGGACCUCGCCUGCCGCGGCGCGUGGCGGACGAUCCUAGACAAGGUAGCGCGCUCGCGCUCGCUGUCCCUCCUCUCUCGGCCGCACGAGCAUCUAAUUUACCUCACUUUCAACGUCCUCGCCCUGGUGAAGCUCCGCCGCUUCGCCGACGCGCAGCAGGAGUUCGAAACCCUAGAUGACGAUCUCGGAUCGAAGCAAUACCAAUUCGAGUCGUUUCCGGAUCAGUACCCGAACAACAAGUCCGGAUCUAUGGUCCCGUUCGCGCUCCGUUGGCUGCACGCGCACUUGCCGUUUACGCUAGGUGAUCGCCAAUUAUCUCUCGAUCGCCUUUACGUUCUCCUGCAUUUCAUUCGCGACACGAAAUUGUCGCGCAAUCGCGAUUCGGUUACUGAAAUCUCGAUCGAUCUGUGGAAGAAGCGUGAGACAUUUGUGAUCAAUUCGAUUGUGAGUCACCAUUUGACUCUGAAGGAAUUUAAGGUGUGUCUCUAUUUGUUGAAAUCGGAGACUAGUAAACUUGAGGAUCCGUUCAUGGUGUCGAAAUUAGGUUACGUUCAGAUGCAAUACGGCGAUCUGGAAGGGGCUAAACGGAGCUUUGAAUUGGUUGAGAAAAUGGUGGAGAAGAGUGAGGGUGGGGAUGCGAAUUUGAAUUUGAAUUUGAAGAAUUUGGUAGGUAGGAAUAAGGCAUUGACAUAUUUGGUUGGGAAGGAUUAUGUAUCAGCUGUGAGGGAGUAUGAGGAGUGUAUGGAGAGGGAUGCAUCCGAUUUUGUGGCGAUCAACAACAAAGCUCUUUGUUUGAUGUAUUUGAGGGAUUUGUCGGACUCGAUUAAGGUGCUGGAGAGCGCGCUGGAGAGGGUUCCGACUGUGGCAUUGAAUGAGACGCUUGUUGUGAAUUUGUGUAGUAUGUAUGAGCUGGCUUAUGUGAAUCAUGCCGAUAUAAAGAAGACACUUAGUACUUGGAUUGCGAGAGUGGCUCCCGACGACUUCGAUACCUCGUGUACCAGGAUUUGAGAUGCUAAAACGAGUUACUUCAGUCACAACUCACAAACAUCAUUUGCUUGAAAAUGAUCAAAUUCUGCGUUGCAAUUAAGAUUUCAGGCAAUGUUUGCAAAGGUGCUGCUGGAUAGCAGACCUUGUCCUAGUGCCCAGGCAGGCUGAUUUGGAGAGAGAGAGAGAGAGACUUCAUCCCAAACUUAUAUAUUUCUUGAUUCAAUAAGUUUUCUUUUUUUCCAUGACAUGCUCAAUGAUUCUUGAAGGCAACAAUCUAUCAUUUUAGUUGAGUAAACAAGUGUAAAGUGAAAAAUUCAUGUGACCAUUUUACUUUCUUAAACAUUUUACACGCACAAA